rnacentral:rRNA from 1 species
GAUGAACGCUGGCGGCGUGCCUAAUACAUGCAAGUCGAGCGAACAGACGAGGAGCUUGCUCCUCUGACGUUAGCGGCGGACGGGUGAGUAACACGUGGAUAACCUACCUAUAAGACUGGGAUAACUUCGGGAAACCGGAGCUAAUACCGGAUAAUAUAUUGAACCGCAGGGUUCAAUAGUGAAAGACGGUUUUGCUGUCACUUAUAGAUGGAUCCGCGCCGCAUUAGCUAGUUGGUAAGGUAACGGCUUACCAAGGCAACGAUGCGUAGCCGACCUGAGAGGGUGAUCGGCCACACUGGAACUGAGACACGGUCCAGACUCCUACGGGAGGCAGCCGUAGGGAAUCUUCCGCAAUGGGCGCACGCCUGACGGAGCCACGCCGCGUGAGUGAUGAAGGUCUUCGGAUCGUAAAACUCUGUUAUUAGGGAAGAACAAAUGUGUAAGUAACUAUGCACGUCUUGACGGUACCUAAUCAGAAAGCCACGGCUAACUACGUG